AGGACAGUCAGUCUCGUCGCUGUGCUGCCAACGCCUGUUGGGAAUGAUGGCAUCGGCCGCGAUCGCUCUCCCGCUGGGGAUGUUGCGCAUGCGGCCUUUCCAAAUGUGGUACCUGUCUCUGAGGCUCCACGCAGUCAAAGACAAAUACCGCAGAAUAACGGUGUCCUCCAGAUGCAGGAAAGCCCUGGCAAUCUGGAGAGCCCCCUGGUUCCUCGCGGCGUCAGGCACUAUGGGUAUAGUGACGCGCCGCGUAGUGGUAACCACAGACGCUUCCACCAGAGGGUGGGGAGCGGUCUGCGAGGGAGAGGCGUGAACGGUCUCUGGUCUGCGACAGAGGCCGCGUCUCAUAUAAAUGUGCUAGAACUGCGGACGGUGGUCCUGGCGCUGCGACACUUUCUGCCCAGAUUGAGUGGUCAGCAUGUGUUAGUAAGGACGGACAACACUUUGGUGUUGGCGUACAUAAACCGUCAAGGCGGAGUGCGCUCCCCGUCACUGCACCAUUGGGCGAACCGCCUGCUCCUGUGGGCAGCGGUUCACAUCCGUUCCCUCAGGGAAGUUCAUAUUCCAGGUCACCUCAACUACGGAGCGGACCUGUUGUGGAGGGGCGACCCUCAAGCAGCAGAUUGGUGUCUACACCCUCAGGUGAUAGAGCAGAUCUGGCUGCGUUUUUUCAGGGCGCAGGUGGAUCUGUUUGCGAACAGGCAGAACACCUGCUGCCCCCUUUGGUUCUCGCUAGGGGGUGACGACCCCCCACUCGGCAUAGACGCGCUGGGCCACCAGUGGCCGAACCUGCGUCUGUAUGCUUUUCCCCCGAUUCCGCUCCUUCAGCAGGUGCUGAGCAGAGUAGCGGACGAGGGCAGAGUAUUGUUAUUGAUAGCCCCCCACUGGCCCAACCAGCCGUGGGCAGCGGAUCUAAUCAAUAUGUCAGUGCAACAGCCCUGGGAACUGCCUCUGCGGAGAGACCUCCUAACACAAGCGAACAGGACAGUGUGGCAUCCCCAUCUGGAGCUGUGGCGUCUCAGAGCCUGGCACCUGAAAGGUGCAGGCUCCUAGCGUCAGGCUUAUCAGACGCGGUGGUAGCCACGAUACAGAGUGCCCGAGCGGUGUCGACACGGGCUCUGUAUACGCUAAAGUGGCGCAGUUUCGAACGGUGGUGCGCUGCGCGUCAGCACGACCCCGUUAACUGCGCGCUGGGCGUCAUACUAAAAUUCCUACAGCAGUUGUUUGAUACAGGCAUUAAUGGCAG
rnacentral:lncRNA from 1 species